UGGGGAAUUUUGGACAAUGGGCGAAAGCCUGAUCCAGCAAUGCCGCGUGUGUGAAGAAGGCCUUCGGGUUGUAAAGCACUUUUGUCCGGGAAGAAAUCCUUGGCUCUAAUACAGUCGGGGGAUGACGGUACCGGAAGAAUAAGCACCGGCUAACUACGUGCCAGCAGCCGCGGUAAUACGUAGGGUGCAAGCGUUAAUCGGAAUUACUGGGCGUAAAGCGUGCGCAGGCGGUUUGCUAAGACCGAUGUGAAAUCCCCGGGCUCAACCUGGGAACUGCAUUGGUGACUGGCAGGCUAGAGUAUGGCAGAGGGGGGUAGAAUUCCACGUGUAGCAGCGAAAUGCGUAGAGAUGUGGAGGAAUACCGAUGGCGAAGGCAGCCCCCUGGGCCAAUACUGACGCUCAUGCACGAAAGCGUGGGGAGCAAACAGGAUUAGAUACCCUGGUAGUCCACGCCCUAAACGAUGUCAACUAGUUGUUGGGGAUUCAUUUCCUUAGUAACGUAGCUAACGCGUGAAGUUGACCGCCUGGGGAGUACGGUCGCAAGAUUAAAACUCAAAUGAAUUGACGGGGUCAUAGCUGUUU
rnacentral:rRNA from 1 species